CCAAUAGCGUAUAUUAAGGUUGUUGCAGUUAAAAAGCUCGUAGUUGAAUUUCGGGAUUGACACAUCGGUCGUGCCUUAAGGGGUGUGAACUGGUGUAGUCAAUUUCUCACCUUCUGGAGAACCGCGAUGUCCUUAAUUGGGUGCCGCGAGGAACCAGGACCUUUACUUUGAAAAAAUUAGAGUGUUUAAAGCAGGCAUUUUUGCUUGAAUACAUUAGCAUGGAAUAAUAAAAUAGGACGGCAUGAUUCUAUUUUGUUGGUUUCUAGGAUCACCGUAAUGAUUAAUAGGGAUAGUUGGAGGCAUUAGUAUUCAAUUGUCAGAGGUGAAAUUCUUGGAUUUAUUGAAGACUAACUACUGCGAAAGCAUUUGCCAAGGAUGUUUUCAUUAAUCAAGAACGAAAGUUAGGGGAUCGAAGACGAUCAGAUACCGUCGUAGUCUUAACCAUAAACUAUGCCGACUAGGAAUCAGACGAUGUUAAUUUUUUAAUGACUCGUUUGGCACCUUACG
rnacentral:rRNA from 1 species